rnacentral:misc_RNA from 1 species
GAUGAAGAACGUAGCGAAAUGCGAUAAGUAGUGUGAAUUGCAGAAUUCAGUGAAUCAUCGAAUCUUUGAACGCACAUUGCGCCCCUUGGUAUUCCAUGGGGCAUGCCUGUUCGAGCGUCAUUUACACCCUCAAGCUCUGCUUGGUGUUGGGCGUCUGUCCCGCUGCUUUGCGCGGACUCGCCUCAAAGGUAUUGGCAGCGAUCAUGCCAGCUUCUCGCGCAGCACAUUGCGCUUCUUGAAGUUCUGGUGGAUCAGCGUCCAUUAAGCUUACCUUCAUGACUUGACCUCGGAUCAGGUAGGGAUACCCGCUGAACUUAAGCAUAUCAAUGCGGAGGA